rnacentral:rRNA from 1 species
UACGAAGGGGGCAAGCGUUGUUCGGAAUUACUGGGCGUAAAGGGCGCGUAGGCGGUGCACUAAGUCAGGCGUGAAAGCCCUGGGCUCAACCCGGGAAUUGCGCUUGAUACUGGUGCGCUUGAAUCCAGGAGAGGUUGGUGGAAUUCCCAGUGUAGAGGUGAAAUUCGUAGAGAUUGGGAAGAACACCGGUGGCGAAGGCAGCCCCCUGGGCCGACACUGACGCUCAGGCACGAAAGCGUGGGGAGCAAACAGG